rnacentral:rRNA from 1 species
GACGAACGCUGGCGGCGUGCUUAACACAUGCAAGUCGAGCGGUAAGGCCUUUCGGGGUACACGAGCGGCGAACGGGUGAGUAACACGUGGGUGAUCUGCCCUGCACUCUGGGAUAAGCCUGGGAAACUGGGUCUAAUACUGGAUAUGACCUCAGCAUGCAUGUGCUGGGGUGGAAAGCUUUUGUGGUGCAGGAUGGGCCCGCGGCCUAUCAGCUUGUUGGUGGGGUAAUGGCCUACCAAGGCGACGACGGGUAGCCGACCUGAGAGGGUGACCGGCCACACUGGGACUGAGACACGGCCCAGACUCCUACGGGAGGCAGCAGUGGGGAAUAUUGCACAAUGGGCGGAAGCCUGAUGCAGCGACGCCGCGUGAGGGAUGAAGGCCUUCGGGUUGUAAACCUCUUUCAGCAGGGACGAAGCGUGAGUGACGGUACCUGCAGAAGAAGCACCGGCUAACUACGUGCCAGCAGCCGCGGUAA